AGAGUUUGAUCAUGGCUCAGAGCGAACGCUGAUGGCGAGCCUAACACAUGCAAGUCGAACGGGAAAGGGAGCAAUCCUGAGUAGAGUGGCGAACGGGUGAGGAACACGUAGGUAAUCUACCCUCGAGAUUGGGAUAACCAACCGAAAGGUGGGCUAAUACCGGAUAAGGUAAUUGGACCUGGAAAGAGGUAGAAUUAAGA
rnacentral:rRNA from 1 species